GCUUGCUAUUUUUAUGAAGAGCGGCGAACGGGUGAGUAACGCGUGGGAAAUCUGCCGAGUAGCGGGGGACAACGUUUGGAAACGAACGCUAAUACCGCAUAACAAUGAGAAUCGCAUGAUUCUUAUUUAAAAGAAGCAAUUGCUUCACUACUUGAUGAUCCCGCGUUGUAUUAGCUAGUUGGUAGUGUAAAGGACUACCAAGGCGAUGAUACAUAGCCGACCUGAGAGGGUGAUCGGCCACACUGGGACUGAGACACGGCCCAGACUCCUACGGGAGGCAGCAGUAGGGAAUCUUCGGCAAUGGGGGCAACCCUGACCGAGCAACGCCGCGUGAGUGAAGAAGGUUUUCGGAUCGUAAAACUCUGUUGUUAGAGAAGAACGUUAAGUAGAGUGGAAAAUUACUUAAGUGACGGUAUCUAACCAGAAAGGGACGGCUAACUACGUGCCAGCAGCCGCGGUAAUACGUAGGUCCCAAGCGUUGUCCGGAUUUAUUGGGCGAA
rnacentral:rRNA from 1 species